AUGAAUCCAGGUGAAAACACACUCAUCAUGAAUCUAUAUAUAGUGACAUCACGUCCUACUGCAUCGAGAUCAGGACUCCUCCUCAAACAGACUCAUCAGGAAUCUAUAUAUAGUGACAUUUUGAAACAAACAAGGUGAGAAAGGAGAACUAAACAGACACCGGGUUGACAAAACUUUAAGAACACCUGUUCUCUUUCCACGACAGACUGACCAGGUGAAAGCGGUGAUCCAUUAUUGAUGUCACUUGUUAAAUCCACUUCAAAAUCAGUGUAGAUGAAGGGGAGGAGACAUGUAGAUGAAGGGGAGGAGACAUGUAGAUGAAGGGGAGGAGACGGGUUAAAGAAGGAUUUAGAAGCUUUUCGACAGUUGAGACAUGGAUUGUGUGUGGCUGUAAGAGCCUUCGAACGGGGUGUGGUAGUAGGUGACAGGCGCACUGGUUUGUGUCAAGAACUGCAAUGCUGCUGGGGUUCUCACACUCAACAGUUUCCCGCGUGUAUCAAGAAUGGUCCACCACCCAAAGGACAUCCAGCCACCUUGACACAACUGUGGGAAGCAUUGGAGUCAACAGGGACCAGCAUGCCUGUGGAUCGCUUUCGACACCUUGUAGAGUCAACAUGGACCAGCAUCCCUGUGGAACGCUUGACACCUUGUAGAGUCCAUGUCCCGACGAAUUGAGUCUGUUCUGAGGGCAACUCAAUAUUAGGGAAGGUGUUCUUAAUGUUUUGUUCACUCAGUGUAAAUUCUCUUCUCAACAUUACACUGUACACUCCAGGUCGACUGUUAAGCUCUUAGUAUUCCUUAUCUACCUGUUAAAUAACCAUAUUGAAGUAAUCAUUAAUUCAUUAAUGACUUCCCCCAUCAGCGGGGUUCAGUCUAGUCCAGAAGAACAGGUUGUUAGAUUGUUAGAUUGAGUUCCACAUCAGCAGGGUCCAGUCUCGUCCAGAAGAACAGGUUGAGUUCCACAUCAGCAGGGUCCAGUCUAGUCCAGAAGAACAGGUUGUUAGAUUGUUUGGCUUGUCUUCCUCUGUCAGAGCAGCUAGUAAAAGUCAAGUAGUAUUAAUUAUGAAACAUUUUCCCACCGAGAAGCUGUUCAACACAACGUUGACUCCAUAUGGACAACCUUAAAGUGACCGUGUAGUCUGUCUCUGAACCUCAACUUCACAGUUUGUUGCUAAAGUAGUGCAUCGUUUGGCUUCACCACAGCUGUCUGUUAGAGAGUCAGUGUUCAGGUGGAAACCCAGGUGGCUCCUGGUAAUUGGGAGUCAGAGAGUUCAGGUAGAAGCCCAGGUGGCUCCAGGUAAUUGAGAGUUCAGGUGGAAGCCCAGGUGGCUCCAGGUAAUUGGGAGUCAGAGAGUUCAGGUGGAAGCCCAGGUGGCUCCAGGUAAUUGGGAGUCAGAGAGUUCAGGUGGAAGCCCAGGUGGCUCCAGGUAAUUGGGAGUCAGAGAGUUCAGGUGGAAGCCCAGGUGGCUCCAGGUAAUUGGGAGUCAGAGAGUUCAGGUGGAAGCCCAGGUGGCUCCAGGUAAUUGGGAGUCAGAGAGUUCAGGUGGAAGCCCAGGUGGCUCCAGGUUACAUGGUUGGAAGCCCAGGUGUCUCCAGGCUACAUGGUUGGAAGCCCAGGUGUCUCCAGGCUACAUGGUUGGAAGCCCAGAUGUCUCCAGGUUACAUGGUAAUUCUCUUUAACAAUGUUAUUGCCAAUAGAAGAAGAAAAGUGACCCAUCCAUAUUUCCAGGAUGGGAAGGCACUUUGGUGACAAGUCUCUCCGUCUGAAAUUCCACCCUAUCCCCUCAUCAGGGAAUUAGGUGCCAUUUGGGACACACCCUGACAGGAAUAUGUAUUGAGCUGGUCUGUCAUCGUUGUGGUAGAUGGGUGUGUGUGUUUUAACUUCCUGGUCAGUCAUCGUUGUGGUAGAUGAGUGUGUGUGUUUUAACUUCCUGGUCAGUCAUCGUUGUGGUAGAUGAGUGUGUGUGUUUUAACUUCCUGGUCAGUCAUCGUUGUGACAGAUGAGUGUGUGUGUUUUAACUUCCUGGUCUUUGGGUUGUGCAUCUUAUCUACAAAUCGUCUCUGAAUGUAAAAACGGAGGUUUUAUCCAAGAAGGUUGUGUUUCCCAGGCCAC
ensembl:lncRNA